rnacentral:rRNA from 1 species
UUACUACCGAAGCUACGGCAUCAUUAUGAUGGGUAGGGGAGCUUCCCAUACGGGUUGAAGCAUGACCGUAAGGACAUGUGGACAGUAUGGGAGUGAGAAUGUUGGCAUGAGUAGCGAGAUGUGGGUGAGAAUCACACAGGCCGUAAACCCAAGGUUUCCAGGGGAAGGUUCGUCCGCCCUGGGUUAGUCGGGACCUAAGCUGAGGCCGAAAGGCGUAGGAGAUGGACAACAGGUUGAUAUUCCUGUACUACCGAUAACCGUUUGAGAGAUGGGAUGACACAGUAGGAUAAGCUAAGCACACUGUUGGUUAUGUGUGCCCAAGCAUUGAGGCAGUCAGAGUAGGUAAAUCCGCUUUGAUAAUGCUGGGAUGUGAUGGGGAGCGAAAUUUAGUAGCGAAGUAGCUGAUUUCACACUGUCAAGAAAAGUCUCUAUCGAGGUUAAAGGUACCCGUACCGCAAACCGACACAGGUGGGUGAGGAGA